CAGAGGUGUAUAUAGAGAUUUGGUUACAGCGGCCAUUUUGAUAAAUAAACGCGCAGCCGCCCGUCAACGGUGAGUAGAUACUUCAGACUUGGUAUCAGCCGUAUGUUAUAUAUCCUACUGUCAACAGAUACAAAAACACUUCGUCUAUUGAAGACCAGAAAAAAUAGGGGUGGCCGCGUGCUGUCAGAACGACAAACGCUGUUAAUGCUUUUAUAGUCAGAAUUCGUCGAAACCCCGUGUAGAAAGAAAAUUUUUUUUUCAGCAGAAAUGUAGUUUCCAGCUAGGACUCUGUCGCGUAUAAUAAAACAAGGCCUGAAGCUCAGUGCUUAUCGUAGAUAUAGAAGGUAUGCUCUAAAUCAAUCUUUACAGAUCGGAUCGAUAAAACGCCUUCUGUCGCGAUUCGCAGUCGGAGUCUGCCCCUGAACACAUGCCACGAACUCCCCAAAGCCUGCCCUAAUUCAAGCGUUCCGGACUUUGUAAGACCUGAAGACUCUCUCUCAUCUAGCCUAGACGUCAGUGUAUACUACGAAUUAUGGUCAGAUUUAGAAGACAAGGCCUGACCUACAAGAUAGCAUCACUCUCGGCAUUACGUCUCUUAAAAAAUCAUUUCAGCAAACAGUAGCGAAAUUUUGCUUGGACACAGUUUACGAAUCCAUAAACUCAUGGCCAGACAGAUUAAAGCUGAAUGGUGAUAUUUCGAAUAGAAUUUUUUUUUGAGACUUUGAUAAAUAUGUAGGUAGCCAUUAUACUUAUAUAACAUUAGUUCAUUAAGUUCAUUCGUUUCUUGUUAUUUUACUAGUUGCAAGUAUAUAAAUAUUAUAAAUUACGUAAAAUACUA